rnacentral:lncRNA from 1 species
ACAAGCCAAGCGACACCAAAGGUGGCCAGCAGCCCAUGUGAAGCUGGAGGAGAGGCCUCGAAUAAAUGCUCCCUUACAGCGUUCAGGGGGAACUGACCCUGUCCACACCUUGACCUUGAACUUCUGGGCUCCAGAACUGUGAGACAGCAUGUUCUGUUGUUGAAGGAGCAGCGUGGCUAGAGGAAUUCCUGCAGCUUAGAUUUCGCUGGCACUGUUACCACUCCCAGAGAGGAGCGGCUGGAGUUCACGGCUGGUUCCUGACAAACUUCCUAAUUAAUCUGCUAAAGAUCAGAGGAGGACUAAUAGGAGCUGAAGACUGUGUGCGAGACCACCCCUCCGCCCUCUCCCUUUGUGUGUGCACGUGUGUGUGUGUGUGUGUGUGAGCGCGUGCGCGCAUGUGGUGCUGAGCUUGGCGGGAGAGAGAUGGCCUCACCAGCGACAAAGCAUUCCUGCUGCUGUUGCUGCCACCUACCUUCCCUGCUUUGGGAGGAUACAUUUUCUCCUCUUGCUUAGAAGUUUCAGGGAGUCACCCAAGCCUUCUUCUCCCAGAUACAACGGUGGAAUAAAAUAUCUUCCAGCCAACAUAUUUUUUGGAGACGGAAUCUCACUCUGUCACCUGGUUGAAGUGCAGCAGCGCGAUCAUGGCUCACUGCAACCUCUGCCUCCCGGUUUCAAGUGAUUCUCCUGCCUCCGCCUCCCGAGUAGCUGGGAUUACAGGCAUGUGCCACCCACCACGCCUGGGUAAUUUUUGUAUUUUUACUAGAGACAGGGUUUCACUAUGUGGGCUGGGCUGGUCUCAAACUCCUGACCUCUGGUGAUCUGCCCACUUCGGCCUCUCAAAGUGCUGGGAUUACAGGCAUGAGCCCCCGCACCCGGUUGCAACCAACUUUUUUGUGGAAUAUAGGAUCUUGAUGUUUGGAUGCCUGAAGGCAGAAGCUGUUGCACAUGGAAUGGAUUAAAGUUUUCCCCUCUGCAACCAAAAAUCCUUGGGGUCCCAGGAGCAAAAGAUGCUCCAUGGCACAGGACAAUUCAAGAAGGCCCGAGGUGAUAUUGAAGACUGCAGAGACAUCCAGCUCAGUUGUGUCUCCGGAGGUGUCCAGACUUUGCAGACAGACGUUGCACAUAAAGAGCUGAAAAACUGAGGAAGCUGAGCUGGAGAAGGAAGUCACUUCUACUCAGACUUGACCUGCGUCUGAUGCUAUGGGGCCUCUUAGGGUUACCUCAUGCUUCAUGCACCCCUUUCUCUGUUCUUCAGCAGAAGGCAGGGUGUAGGGAAGCGGGACUGUGCCUCCUUUCUCCCUGCCAGGCCUGACUCUCCAGGCCAAGAGACACCAUUAAGGAGUAUAAUUUGUUGAUCCAGGCUCUCCUUGCGUUUCAGUGCAGAGUGGCAUCGUUUUCUUUAUGACCUCGUAAAGUCACAGCCGAGAGGCCGAUUUGGAAAACAAACUGCCUCAGGUUGACAGAUAAUUAGAUACAGGGGACAUAUUAUAUGCCUUUGCAUAUAAAUGUGCUCCGAGGCGUGUUGGUUCAUCUGAAGUUGAGGUUAAAGGCGCGCCAGAGUUAAUCCUAAUAAAAAAUGAUUACAGAAGAGGACGCCUCCACCCACAGGAAGGAGCCAGCACGGUGGGGAGCUGUUUCACCAGGGGAGUGUUCUCAGCAGCUGCCACACGUGGAGUUGUGGAGCAGGAUCUUGGCAGUGGACUGCCACGGGAGCUCUGGGGAAAAAGGACCAGUUGGACUCCAGUACCUCCUGAGAGACCACCACCCUCCAUGCCUCCAGCUCAUGCCCAGCUCUGAGUCAGACGGACUCUUCCUGUUGUACUGCGAGGUUCUGCAAACCUUGAAGGGCAAACACAGUGAGGGUCUCUGACUUGCUGUGUGGACAGCCCACUCUCUGACAGCCCAGAUCAUCUGAAGCUAUCCCUGGGCUGGGAGCUGGAAGCCAUUCUUGUGAACCACUCCUUAUACCUUGAGCGAAGCCUCUUUGGGUCCCAGAAGUCUGAAGCUCCAGCUGCCUGGCAAGACUGAGUCUAGAUGAUUUCUUGGGUACCAGUAGUUUGGCAUUUAAAAAUACUGGAUUAACUGCAGUGUAAACUUAGAUUGCAUUUCAGAUUGUAAACAAUAACCCCCGUGCUUCAUGUGAUGUUAAAUCAGAAAUGAGCUAUUAGCCAAGCUAGUCCUCUUAUGAAUGAGCCCCUAACCCUGAUCCAGGGAUCGUUGAAUGAAAAUCAUCAAAAUGAUUUAUCUUCACUUUA